UCGUCACACUAUCAUUAACUGAAUCCAUAGGUUAAUGAGGCGAACCGGGGGAACUGAAACAUCUAAGUACCCCGAGGAAAAGAAAUCAACCGAGAUUCCCCCAGUAGCGGCGAGCGAACGGGGAGGAGCCCAGAGCCUGAAUCAGCAUGUGUGUUAGUGGAAGCGUCUGGAAAGGCGCGCGAUACAGGGUGACAGCCCCGUACACAAAAGCGCAUGUGCUGUGAGCUCGAUGAGUAGGGCGGGACACGUGGUAUCCUGUCUGAAUAUGGGGGGACCAUCCUCCAAGGCUAAAUACUCCUGACUGACCGAUAGUGAACCAGUACCGUGAGGGAAAGGCGAAAAGAACCCCGGCGAGGGGAGUGAAAAAGAACCUGAAACCGUGUACGUACAAGCAGUGGGAGCACCCUUUGGGGUGUGACUGCGUACCUUUUGUAUAAUGGGUCAGCGACUUAUAUUCUGUAGCAAGGUUAACCGUAUAGGGGAGCCGUAGGGAAACCGAGUCUUAACCGGGCGUUAAGUUGCAGGGUAUAGACCCGAAACCCGGUGAUCUAGCCAUGGGCAGGUUGAAGGUUGGGUAACACUAACUGGAGGACCGAACCGACUAAUGUUGAAAAAUUAGCGGAUGACCUGUGGCUGGGGGUGAAAGGCCAAUCAAACCGGGAGA
rnacentral:rRNA from 1 species